rnacentral:rRNA from 1 species
UACGAAGGGGGCUAGCGUUGUUCGGAAUUACUGGGCGUAAAGCGCACGUAGGCGGAUCGAUCAGUCAGGGGUGAAAUCCCAGGGCUCAACCCUGGAACUGCCUUUGAUACUGUCGAUCUGGAGUAUGGAAGAGGUGAGUGGAAUUCCGAGUGUAGAGGUGAAAUUCGUAGAUAUUCGCAGGAACACCAGUGGCGAAGGCGGCUUACUGGUCCAUAACUGACGCUGAGGUGCGAAAGUGUGGGGAGCGAACAGG